GACGAACGCUGGCGGCGUGCCUAAUACAUGCAAGUCGAACGCUUCUUUCCUCCCGAGUGCUUGCACUCAAUUGGAAAGAGGAGUGGCGGACGGGUGAGUAACACGUGGGUAACCUACCCAUCAGAGGGGGAUAACACUUGGAAACAGGUGCUAAUACCGCAUAACAGUUUAUGCCGCAUGGCAUAAGAGUGAAAGGCGCUUUCGGGUGUCGCUGAUGGAUGGACCCGCGGUGCAUUAUCUAGUUGGUGAGGUAACGGCUCACCAAGGCCACGAUGCAUAGCCGACCUGAGAGGGUGAUCGGCCACACUGGGACUGAGACACGGCCCAGACUCCUACGGGAGGCAGCAGUAGGGAAUCUUCGGCAAUGGACGAAAGUCUGACCGAGCAACGCCGCGUGAGUGAAGAAGGUUUUCGGAUCGUAAAACUCUGUUGUUAGAGAAGAACAAGGACGUUAGUAACUGAACGUCCCCUGACGGUAUCUAACCAGAAAGCCACGGCUAACUACGUGCCAGCAGCCGCGGUAAUACGUAGGUGGCAAGCGUUGUCCGGAUUUAUUGGGCGUAAAGCGAGCGCAGGCGGUUUCUUAAGUCUGAUGUGAAAGCCCCCGGCUCAACCGGGGAGGGUCAUUGGAAACUGGGAGACUUGAGUGCAGAAGAGGAGAGUGGAAUUCCAUGUGUAGCGGUGAAAUGCGUAGAUAUAUGGAGGAACACCAGUGGCGAAGGCGGCUCUCUGGUCUGUAACUGACGCUGAGGCUCGAAAGCGUGGGGAGCAAACAGG
rnacentral:rRNA from 1 species